rfam:Legionella lansingensis strain ATCC 49751 Llan_ctg074, whole genome shotgun sequence.
GGGGUCGUAGCUCAGCUGGGAGAGCACCUGCCUUGCACGCAGGGGGUCGGGAGUUCGAUCCUCCCCGGCUCCA